ACGACUCUCGGCAACGGAUAUCUCGGCUCAUGCAUCGAUGAAGAACGUAGCAAAAUGCGAUACUUGGUGUGAAUUGCAGAAUCCCGUGAACCAUCGAGUUUUUGAACGCAAGUUGCGCCCGAAGCCAUUUGGUUGAGGGCACGUCUGCCUGGGCGUCACGC
rnacentral:rRNA from 1 species